AGCAGCCGCGGGAAUACCCGCGCCCCUAGUGGUGGUCGAUAUUAUUGAGCCUAAAACGUCCGUAGCCGGUCUUUUAAAUCCUUGGGUAAAUCGGGCAGCUUAACUGUCCGAAUUCCGAGGAGACUGGAAGACUUGGGACCGGGAGAGGUCAGAGGUACUUCUGGGGUAGGGGUAAAAUCCUGUAAUCCUGGAAGGACCACCGGUGGCGAAGGCGUCUGACUAGAACGGAUCCGACGGUGAGGGACGAAGCCCUGGGGCGCAAACGGGAUUAGAUACCCCGGUAGUCCAGGGUGUAAACGCUGCGGGCUUGGUGUUGGGGGUCCUUUGUGGGCGCCCAGUGCCGGAGAGAAGUUGUUAAGCCUGCUGCUUGGGGAGUAUGUCCGCAAGGAUGAAACUUAAAGGAAUUGGCGGGGGAGCACCGCCAACGGGAGGAGCGUGCGGUUCAAUUGGAUUCAACGCCGAAAAACUCACCAGGAGCGACGGAUAUAUGAAGGUCAAGUUGAUGACUUUACCUGAUUUUCCGAGUGGAGGUGCAUGG
rnacentral:rRNA from 1 species